UACGUAGGGUGCAAGCGUUGUCCGGAUUUAUUGGGUUUAAAGGGUGCGUAGGUGGCUUUUUAAGUCAUGGGUGAAAGCCUGCGGCUCAACCGUAGAAUUGCCUGUGAUACUGAGGAGCUUGAGUGCGGAUGAGGUAACUGGAAUUGGUGGUGUAGCGGUGAAAUGCAAAGAUACCACAAGGAACACCGAUUGCGUAGGCAGGUUACUAAACCGCAACUGACACUGAGGCACGACAGCGUGGGGAGCAAACAGG
rnacentral:rRNA from 1 species